CUCCACGCGUCAGCAGCAGGAGCCUCCUCCUCCUCCCCCGGUUAUGUUUUAUUCGAGAAUAGAUCACGGAUCCAUGCAGAGAGCGCGCCGGGCAGCUCGCGAGCCGAGACGGGGCCAACCAGAGGCUUCGAGACGAGGAGACAAAGAGCCGGGAGAGAGAGCAGGAGACGAGGAAGGGGACAAUCUAGAAAACAUUCAUUGACGCGUUCGUCGGCGAGAUCGGUGAGAGGCGCCCACAGAUCAUCAGGGAGGAGGGGAGGCUGAGCAGAGGGGGCCAUGGAAGGUUCAUACGGAGAGGCGACACGACGCGGGGCGGGGAGUGCAUCGCUGCGAUAAGGAGGACGAGAGGACAAAGCGAACUGGCAGCGCACACGGCAUCACCAUCACUACUCCCCCACCACCACCAUCACCCCCGUCACCAGAUUCACCAUCACCACCAUCACUACCCUCAUACCCGGCGCGUCGGCGUGCGCGCUUGAGGCUGCUGUUUCAGCCGGGCAGGCUGCAGCUGCUGCUGCUGUAUUCGGCAGGGGGGCUGUAGGAGUAGGGCGGGCUAGAGCAGGCGUGGUGGGUGUAUGAGCCUGCAGUCUCGGCUGGCGGAGUGAGCCAAGCGAGCGGCGAGGCAGCAUGCUGUACGUGCAGCUGGUGCUGGGCGCCGGCACGGUGCUGCUCGCCUACCACCUCGAGUGCUCCGACACGUUCCCCGUGACGCAGCGCGGCUUCUUCUGCUGGGAGCGCGCCCUGGCGGCCCCGGACCCGGGUCCCGAGGCUCGGGGGGCCGCGCCCCCCGCCAUCCUCUACCCCAUCCUCGCCGCGCUGCCCUGCGCCACGAUUCUCGUCGUGGAGCUCGCCCAGUACGUGCUGGAGACCUCGGCCAAGCACGUCGUGUACGAGCCUCCGCCCGAGGCGCCGGGGGACCACUGCCACGUGAACGCGCUGCUGCGCCGCAUCGGCAAGCUCGCCGGACUCUUUCUCUACGGCUUGCUCGCCACGGACAUUUUUGCCAACGUCGGGCAGGUGGUUAGCGGAGGGCUGACGCCCCACUUCCUGAGCGUGUGCAAGCCCAACUACACGGCGCUGCCCUGCCACGCCGCCUCGGUGGGGGUCGGCGGCGGCGGCGUCUUCAUCACGGACCCGGCGGCGUGCACCGGCAGCCCCGAGCUGGUGGCGCGCGCGCGCCUCUCCUUCCCCUGCAAGGAGGCGGCCUUCAGCCUCUACUCGGCCGUCUACACCGUGCUGUACGUGACCAGCACGAGCAAGCGCUGGGGGAUCCGGCUCGUGAAGCCGACCUGCUGCCUGGGCCUCAUGGGCCUGGGCCUCAUCGUGGGCCUAGUGCGGAUCGGCGAGCACCGCAACCACUGGGCCGACGUCAUCACCGGCUACACCAUCGGCGCCGGCAUCGCCACCUUCCUGUGCUGCUGUGUGGUGGGGAACUUCAAGCGGAAGCGCUACACCAAGCCGUGGAAGAGCAAGCCGGCUGGCUUCCACGGCGCCAAGGUGUCCAGCCGGGGGAGCCACCACGUGCACAUCACAAACUCGUUCCAGAACCACCCGGCAGGCGGCUUCCUGUCAGAAGUGCUGGAGCCGUGACCAGGGUCCUGGCGGCAGCUCUCAAACUCUCACCAUCGCACCUCCCUCCUUCAUCCAGUUGUUUAUUUACACAUUUGCUUCGAGGAUACACAGGCAUCAUUGUUACCUAGUCAACACCAAAAUAGAACAGACUGUGUGUGAGGGCAAGAUGUUGGGAGGUGUGAGGACUGGGAGUUGAGAGCUGGGGUGCAGCAGCAUGAGAUUAUGCCGAUGCACACAAUGGGGAUUUGGCUUCAAUGCUCGGUGAUCAUCUCUUGCUGCACAGACGGCCGUGCCACCACCCCCCCACCCCUGCCCCUCCGGCAGGAUUAUGGCCGAGCACAGGAAGAGGCACUGAAGACAACAGCAGCACUUAGCCACGAGCCGAACCCCGGCACGUCUGCCUCCACGCAAUCCCACCACGAGACGCCGCACCACCGGGGCUGCGUGUCAAGGGGAGAGACCACAAUUGGAGUUGUUGGAGAGCCCUGGCAUUGUGAACGGACACCGCUGGCGAUGAUCUGCAGGGGCUCUGCAUGCGUUUCUACAUUUCUCACCUUCACCGCAUGGCGCAAGACAACAAAGAGGGGAAUUUGACAAAUGUCGGGCCCAGAUUGUGCCAUGUGCACUGAAUUGGCGUGGCAUUCAAAACACAUCCCAGGCUCGCGCUUUUCAAACGAGUCUGUUUACUUGCACAUGUGCGCGUGUAAUUGCGCUGCAGUGAUGGUGCCAUUGCGAAACAAUGCCCGUGUGCCAAUUGACGCCACUCAAGUAAAUGGGCAGUGAGCAGUGCUCUGAGAGCAGCAGUGGGAUACACGACUCGUUGGAAGUGGGCUGCUCCUUCACCGUGAGUCGCAUCGGGUUUGGUGUGGAGGCUCUCAGCAAUCCGGUCCGUCACGGCGCUCCACCACCCCACGCUCUCACGGCACGUGAUGCGUUCACCCCGCGUGAUGCCCGCCGACUUCACGUCUGUGCUGGGGUUCACCAACGUCGAGUGUGCAGGACGAUUAGCCACGACGGCGGCGUCAGGCGAGAAACCCCACAUAGUCUUCUUCACUCUUCACACAUUUUACGGCGAUGUUUAUUCCUGCAGAGACGUUAUGGGUUUCACUAACCCCGCGUGCAAUGUCUGAUCCGUUGUUGGUAAACGACGUUUGGUUCGCAGACAAUACUCGCGACACUCGCGACUCGGCGUGACUUCAGAUAGGACGCAGUCGGUGCCAUCCCUGUGCGACCGUGUAAAUGAAUGAUUCGAUGGCUUCCCCGACAUCUCCAUGUGUUCACUGACACGGAAAGUCUCGACUGUAAGGGGAAACAAAGCACAGGGUAUUGACAACGCAAGAAUGUGCGGUGGCUCGGCGGGAGAGCACGGAGCCAGCACGGAGCCAGCAGGGAGCCAGCAGGGAGCCAGCACGGAGCCAGCAGCACCGCGGAGACGUUAGUUCGAUUCCAGGCGGUGUUAGUCCGUGAUCUGUGCGGAGCGAGUCCGCGCCAUGCCUGAACUGGGAUGUGACCGCUCUGCGCAACGCGAAGUGGCGUCUGGCACGGGAGCGCGCCCUGCCCACGGCCCACCAGGAUGGCGGUGGUUUGUGGUGCACGUGAGCUCGAGGGUUGCUCCAAGAGUCUGGAGAAAUAAAAGCGCAGUUGGCGAAACUCUCGCGCGUUUGGGGUUCCUCCCGUCCGCGUUUGCGAGAGAAAGUCUCGACUUUGAGGUCGGCACCAAGGCAGCAUGAACAUCUCCACGUGACCCAGCUCGUGCCGAACUCGACGUUUUGAGGCAGGGUUCAUUUCACAGAUGCUGCUAAUUCCCGGUCCCUCUGGGUUUGACCCGAGACUGAUCGGGAAUUGGCACCACCGGCGUUCGGGUGACAGGAAUCUGUACCCAGAUCUGGUACCGGUGUUGUGUGUUGAACUGUGUCACAGUGAACUCGGGUGGUGAUAGACCAAGGUUGGCUGAGGAAUACGCCCCAGUUUGGUCUAAAGUGGACAGUUGGCAACCCUCUAACUUCUAUGCUUUCAAGCUCUGUGGUCCAGCAACCAAUUUAACUUGCCCAUUCACGUGUCACUGUGCUUACAGUGUGGCCACAUUCGUCAACAUUUGGUCAUUCUUGUUGGAGCAGAAGCUGCCACACACACGCGUCUUGUAUACAAGUGCACGCGCACACUUUAUAUAAGCUUGGCUGUCACGCGAGGCGUGGCCUGGGCAUUUAUAUUCUUUGAACUUCUUCUCUUGGAGCUGACAUUUCCUGCUAUAAGUUUUUCUGAUUAUUUCAGUAUUCCUUUGUAUUUAAUUUAUUGUAUUUAAUUUUUCGUGUUUAAUUUAUUUCAGGAGCUGGCAGCCGUCAGAGUUGACCGCUCGGCCAUCUGCCUGUGAACUGCGGGAGCGACGAGGUGGUGCAGCAUUAGCGACGUCUCCACGUUGACGGCAUCACCUGCCCCGGUCGAGGUCACGAUACACUGGGGCCAUAAUCCCCGGCACCCACCACGCUCCCUCUCGUGGGUGGCUUGUUGGGAAAUUCCAAUCGGAUCUUGGAGGCCGCAUGACGUUCUGUGCCCAGUGGACCGAUUAUUGCUCCAUCAAUCACCUUUCAGCCCACUCUCUUGUCAUAGGCUGGAUACGGCUCCGGCAUCGCUGCUCACAGUAUACGCGCUGUCACGGACAACCACCGUUGACAAUUACCCCCAAAAUACCCCCAAUAUAUAAUUGUCUAUCUACUGACGUGGCACAGCCUGCACUGGCACUGAGACGUCUGCAGCUUCAGGAAUGCUUGUGGGCACUGGGUCGAUGGAGAUCCACAGCAGAGCAAGCGGCUCAUUGACUCUCUACCCGGUGCGGCAACCAAUCCUCUCCUCGACAAGUUAACCUGUUACCCUCACAAAUGACUUGAUCCUUCGCAUUCCAGCCUACGGUACGCGCGUGUGUAUGUUGAAGCGUACGUAGCCAACCCCUUAUCCUCCACGCCCUCUGAUUGCCCUCCACCCCACACUCACCCUGCUCCCGCGACCCUGACCCCCACUCGGAGCCCCGAGUUCACCCUUCACCGCCCCCUCUGAGCCCCUACCCUGAGCGUGCCAGGGUGCCGAGGCCCGGGACGCCGCUCUACAUCCAAUUCCAUUCUUGUCGCUGCUGCUACCGCUUACGCAGGGAGCACAGAAUGAGUAGGAACAGAGUCACUGCUGCUGCUUACGCAGGGAGUACAGAAGGAGUAGGAACAGCGUCGCCGUAAUUAGUUUAGAGUCUUUGCGAGAUCUGGAUGAGUUUUUAUUCUUUAGAAUUUUGAGUCGUACUUGAAUGGUCAAAGUACACCAAUGCAUGUAUGUGAUGUGUACAUCACUGAGAGAAACUGAAUGCAGCUCGCAGCGCGGCUGUCGCCCUGGGAGGCUGCGAUCCACUGCGGCAAUUUGAGGGCAAAACAAUUCGCGCAGAAUUUCCCGUGGUCAACAAAAACAACGCGUUCUGAACAAACCCGUGUGGGUAGUGUUGGUGUGAUGGCAUGGUGGUGUGAAGGGCCACACUGGGCCAUUAUGGGCCUCUGGUCAUUGAAGAAGAUUCACAUCAACCACGAAUGGUUUGACGGCCUGUACAAUGUAAUCCCUGCAUUGCUAAGCACACGCGCGUACACACGCGCGUACAGACGGCAGUUAUUGACUUUGAAGAGAACUCUGUCACUCCGUUCUGUUGCCUGCCAAAUUGCCGCAGUCGCUCACGGGUAAUGUGUUGCCGGCAACGGCUGCCCGUGAAUGUGCCCGAGGGGAUGACGGCCGCGUGGGCGACGUGCCCAGGGGGGUGCGUGCGAUGUUGGGCGGUCAGACUCCCCGUGUCGCCCCCCCCCCCCAGCAAUGACCCAGGCCCCUGCCCGCUCCGGGAGUUGUGGUGAGAGGUCGCCACUGAGUUGAAGCGUCUCUCUUCCUAUUGCUGCUGAUAUGCGGCCUCGCUCCAAUUGGUUCACGUUUUUCUCUCGCGAUUCGCAUCAACGGUGAAUAAUCUGUUCUCUGUAACGCGCGGCGGAUAUUCGACGAUGUUUCUGCUGUCGCAGACACCGUCAUUGAAGGAACAGAAUCGUUAAAUCCAUCGGUGUGGCGCGAUUCCGCCGAGGCCACGCCGUGGGUGCCCGUGGGGCUCGUGGGGGCCGCGGCCGCCCCCGCUGGGACGAGCCGGCGGUUUGGACCCGAAGUGUUUUUUUUUUAUGAACAAGGUUUUGUAAAUUACAUACACGAGUGUAUUCGCGAAUGUCUUUUAAUGGCAAUCAAUAGCAAUGUGGUGUGUUGGGGGGGGGGUCUUUGUGAUUGAACCCGUGAGUGGAGGUGCCCCCACAAAAGCAAUACAGCGCGGCCGCGUGCCCCCCUCUCGAGGUUCGCGGCCGCGCCACGGAGCUGACCUCCCCCGGCUUCUUACAAUCAACAGGAAGAGGGACACGUCACAGGAUUGACUUAGACCCGUGGCAUUCAAGAGAACCCGCUGCUUCGGGGACAUUCGCUGAACUCCGUCUGGUGUCACGAACCGCCUCGUUCCGGGGGUCGCGCGAACGUUCGACCACCACACAC